AUUGAACGCUGGCGGCAGGCCUAAUACAUGCAAGUCGAGCGAGCGGCGGACGGGUGAGGAAUGUAUGGGGUCUGCCCGAUAGAGGGGGAUAAUUGCUGGAAACGGUGGCUAAUACCGCAUACUAUCGGAUAACCCAUAUGGGAUUGGCUAGUAGGUGGGGUAAAGGCUCACCAGGGCGACGAUCACUAGCUGGUCUGAGAGGAUGAUUGCCCACACUGGCACUGAGACACGCCCAAUACUCCUACGGAGUCAGAAGUGGGGAUUAUUGCACAAGGGGGGAAAGCCUGAUGCAGCCAUGCCGCGGGUAUUAGGAAGGCCUUAGGGUUGUAAAGUACUUUGUGCGGGGAGGCGUUACCCUCACAGGAAGCACCGGCUAACUCCGUGCCAGCAGCCGCGGUAAUAC
rnacentral:rRNA from 1 species